GUGAGGAAUAUUGCGCAAUGGGCGAAAGCCUGACGCAGCGACGCCGCGUGGAGGAUGAAGGUCUUCGGAUUGUAAACUUCUGUUAAGUGGGAAGAAAGGGCUGUUUUUAAUAGAAGCAGUUAAUGACGGUACCAUUAAAGAAAGCACCGGCUAAACUCGUGCCAGCAGCCGCGGUAAUACGAGUGGUGCAAGCGUUAUUCGGAAUAAUUGGGCGUACAGGGUGUGUAGGCGGUAUGUUAAGUCUGUUGUUAAAGACUCCGGCCUAACCGGAGACAGGAAGCGGAAACUGGCGUACUAGAGGGUGGAAGAGAGAAGUGGAAUUCUCGGUGUAGCGGUAAAAUGCGUAGAUAUCGAGAGGAACACCGAUGGCGAAGGCAGCUUCUUGGUCCAUACCUGACGCUGAAACACGAAAGCGUGGGGAGCAAACAGGAUUAGAUACCCUUGUAGUCC
rnacentral:rRNA from 1 species